AGGCAUAAACUGUAAUAUACGCAGCACCACAAUCAAAGGCUUAGCCCUGGCACUCCCUGCGCUGCAUAUGCUGUGAUGUCAGGACGUGUGACGUCACAGAGGCGCCGCUCAGCCACCACCGAGCACCGCAGGAAUGACAGCUGAUCAAGCAGCCUCCGUUAAGUCAUCCUCAGCUUGGCAAGGAGACAGCCUCCUGAGGGGGAAGUUCAAACGGACCUCCUGGCGCGAAUUCACUCUGGGUGCAUGAUUAUAAAGAUUCCUCAAAGUAGCCCCCUUCUGCUUUGAUGACAGCUUUGCACACUCUUGGCAUUCUCUCAAUCAGCUUCAUGAGGUAGUCUCCUGGAAUGGUUUUCUAAAAGUCUUAAAGGAGUUCCCAGAGGUGCUGAGCACUUGUUGGCUGCUUUUACUUCACUCUGUAGUCCAACUCAUCCCAAACCAUCUCAAUUGGGUUUAGGUUUUGUGAUUGUGGAGGCCAGGUCAUCUGACGCAGCACUCCAUCAUUUUUUGAAGUUUUGUAAAUAUGGCAAGACUGCAGUCCGUAUUGAAAAUAAUAAAGACUACAUUGUGCA